UACGUAGGGGGCGAGCGUUGUCCGGAGUUACUGGGCGUAAAGCGCACGCAGGCGGUCUGCUAAGUUUGGAGUGACAGUUGGUGGCUUAAUCGCCAAAGUGCUUCGAAAACUGACAGACUUGAGGGCUUCAGAGGGACACGGAAUUCCGGGUGGAGUGGUGAAAUGCGUAGAGAUCCGGAGGAACACCAAAGGCGAAGGCAGUGUCCUGGGGAGUAGCUGACGCUGAUGCGCGACAGCGUGGGGAGCAAACAGG
rnacentral:rRNA from 1 species